UGGGGUUUCUUUCUAGUUGGAGACGGUUUGGUACAACCUGAGGCACUCAACAAGAAAGCCAUUCAAAUUAUCAACAGAGUAAGAGACAAACUUACAGGUCGAGACUUUUCUCAUGAUGAGACACUAGAUGUGCCAACACAAGUGGAGCUUCUCAUCAAGCAGGCCACUUCACAUGAAAACCUGUGCCAGUGCUACAUUGGAUGGUGUCCAUUUUGGUGAAGAACCGUCUCCGGCAGACAAAGUUACCCUUUUACACUUUUUUUUCUCACUGGUAACCAAGAAGAAGCAUUCAAAUACAUGGACGUUAACUGAAAUAUGUAAUUAAGACACAGUGCAGAGCCUUUGCGAAAGAUAUUCUUUUUUGUUGUUGUGAUGAUCCGAUUUUCCAGUGGCAUGUUUUAAGUUUAUUUGAGAGUAUCUUAAGAGCUCAGUUUAACCUGAUGAUUAUAAUUUAACUUCCAAUGACUUCCUUGGCUUUUAACCAUACCACCACAAUCACUUGCUAAAAGCUUUCUACGGAGGCCAUAUUGUAAUUAUGACAUUUCUUACUUCACAUACACUGUAAUAAAAACCCACUAGUCUCUUAUAUCAUUGUGUAUUAUUGUGACAAUUUCAAUAACAUAGUAUGCCUUUAACUAACUUAAACAUUCUUUAAAGUUUACUAAUGACAAAAUCAGUCAAGUCAAAUUUGAUUUAAGAUGAUCAUAAUGUACUGUAUGGGCAUUUGUGUGCCAAUAAACCCUGUACAGAUACCA